GCAGAUCCUUAAAUUCCUUUAAUUUUACAUUAGGAUAUAAAAUCGCUCAUUCUAAUGGGUUGGUAAAUGCAUAGACCUUCGGAAGUCCCAUUGAUGAAAACACAGCGCAGGCGGCGGGAAAUAUACUAUUAUUUCUGCCCUGGCUGUAUUUCCAUUCCCUAAUAACAAUAAUGAACUUGAAGCACCCCAUUUGCAUACAGAUGGGUCUCGUCUCUUGCUUUACGGCAGCUAUGCAGUUAAGCCUGUCACCGAUGUGCACUUCCCAGCCUCCAAACACAAUUUAAAGACCGCUUCACGGAGAGGCGAAUUACAGCCAUGUGUUUAAGCAUUAGGGCUGUGGCUUUUCUAAAGACUGCUGGCACCAUCGCCAAGUUCCACCGCGUGUUAGAGUCCGUCACAAGUUCCGAGCUGCUACAGCUCAUGGACUGUGGCUGUCCUUCAAAUGUCGCACCGUCCCCACCGGUGUCAUCCCAGCUCCUGGGGCGGGUUACUGCCGCCCACUCCACUUCCCGGCCGUGACGCGGCUCCUUCCUUCCUUCCCUCCCCCUCCUCACUCCUGCGCCAUGCGUCAUGCCCGGCACCUGCACCAGCAGAGUCCCGAGCUGCUUUGCCGCCAGCGGAAGCUCAGUCAGCCUCAGCCAACUGGUGGGCAGGAGGAGACCGUGCGAACCAGCCUUGAGGGGCCCUGAGGGAGCACCGCGGGAGGCCCGCCCGCACAGGGGCUUCGAGAACGUGUGUUCACCGAGGAAACAGCGGGUCGGGGGUUGGGAAGGCACCAAAGCAGAGGCACAGAUCUGCUGACCCACAGCCUUCUCCGGAAGGGCCAGGUGAGAGGCGACAGCGGGCGGGCGGAACGGCGAGCGGCCCAGGCUACUGACAGAUGACUGUUCAUCAAAUGACAAAGCCAUCUUCCUGUGCCUCCUCUAGCUCAGUCACAGGAGGGUUCCGACCCAGGACUAGGCAGGGUCAGCACCCCAACCCCGGCCUGAGGCAGCCAGAACAAGACAGACCUUCAGCCCCUCUCCAUCUGGUUGGCUUCUUGCAAUGACUUUCCAUGUUGGAGCAGAGAAGACAUCGAAGGUUGGCAGAGACCCUGGAGGAGGCCGGGUGAAUGCAGAAGGCUCUUCACUACCUGCGCCAAGACCGAGGUCCUGGGCAAACAGGGCAGCUCAGCCUGGUUCUCCAUCUACCCACACAGCAGGCUCAGUCCCUCCACAUCCCAACCCCAUAUGCUCUAAGUUGAACACUUUGCCUUUUUUAAUGCACUGAAUGACAGCACUGACUUUAGAUUCUUCCAGAAGGCCCUGUGUCAGAGCUGGAUUGUCACAGCUUCUGUGGUCAACAAGUCCACAACAGGGAAAGGCCCUGGAGCCCCAGCCAUGGGUCAAGGGUCUAGGUUUAUUUCACUGUGUCCUGAGAA